GGGAAUUAGCUCAGCUGGGAGAGCGCUUGACUGGCAGUCAAGAGGUCAGGGGUUCAAGUCCCCUAUUCUCC
rnacentral:tRNA from 1 species